GUUCGACUCGAGCGAAGCGAGAGAACGUUGCGUCAGCAACGGCCCGCAGGGCGAGUCACGCAGUGGCGAGUCAUCCUCUAUCACCGACCA
rnacentral:sRNA from 3 species